UGAAAUUGCGAUUGAGGUUGU
rnacentral:miRNA from 1 species